UACGAAGGUGGCAAGCGUUGUUCGGAUUUACUGGGCGUAAAGGGCGCGUAGGCGGCCUCUGCAAGUCGACUGUGAAAUCUCCGGGCUUAACCCGGAAAGGUCAGCCGAUACUGCAGGGCUAGAGUGCAGAAGGGGCAACUGGAAUUCUCGGUGUAGCGGUGAAAUGCGUAGAUAUCGAGAGGAACACCUGCGGCGAAGGCGGGUUGCUGGGCCGAUACUGACGCUGAGGAGCGAAAGCGUGGGGAGCGAACAGG
rnacentral:rRNA from 1 species